rnacentral:rRNA from 1 species
GAUGAACGCUGGCGGCGUGCUUAACACAUGCAAGUCGAACGGAAAGGCUCCUGCUUGCAGGGGUACUCGAGUGGCGAACGGGUGAGUAACACGUGGGUGAUCUGCCCUGCACUUCGGGAUAAGCCUGGGAAACUGGGUCUAAUACCGGAUAGGACCACAUUUUGGAUGGUGUGGUGGAAAGUUUUUCGGUGUGGGAUGAGCUCGCGGCCUAUCAGCCUGUUGGUGGGGUAAUGGCCUACCAAGGCGUCGACGGGUAGCCGGCCUGAGAGGGUGUACGGCCACAUUGGGACUGAGAUACGGCCCAGACUCCUACGGGAGGCAGCAGUGGGGAAUAUUGCACAAUGGGCGCAAGCCUGAUGCAGCGACGCCGCGUGGGGGAUGACGGCCUUCGGGUUGUAAACUCCUUUCGCUAGGGACGAAGCGCAAGUGACGGUACCUGGAGAAGAAGCACCGGCUAACUACGUG